rnacentral:rRNA from 1 species
AUGAAGAACACCCGGGACUGGAACCCGGAGGAGGACAUCAGACACAAAUGCGCUGGCCUUCAUGAUUCCAUGACCUGGAAUCAUACCAGCCGAUGGUACCAUAUAACUGGAAUUAACCCAUGCAAGUCGAAGAAGGAUUGGCCGGUGCUGCCGGCUGGCGUCAAGUUCGAUCCCAUGGAUCAGGAGCUGAUCGAGCACCUUGAGGCCAAAGUGAGUGCUGACAGCGCGAGAUCUCACCCUCUCAUCGAUUUGAACAUACCAACCAUCGACAGCGAGCACGGCAUAUGCUACACCCAUCCUGAGAAAUUUCCAGGUAUCACACUGAGUGGCCUAAGCAAGCAUUUCUUCCAGCGCAAUUCCAGGGCGUUCAAAAGGGGCACGUGGACGCAUCGCAAGAUACAGUCGGAGUGCGGCAUGCCCGCGAUGUGGCACAACACCGGCAAUACCUUGCCGGUGAUGGUCAACGGCCGGCAGACGGGCAGCAAAAAGGUUCUGGUGCUGCACACCAACAAGAACUUCGACCAGCAGAGGACCAACUGGGUGAUGCACCAGUACCACCUCGGGGACCUGGAGCAAGAGAAGGAGCGGGAGCUGGUCCUCUGCAAGAUUUUCUACCAGACGAACACUAGGGCGAGGAGUAAAAAGAUUAUAAGUUAG